rnacentral:rRNA from 1 species
UACGGGGGGGCAAGCGUUGUUCGGAAUUACUGGGCGUAAAGGGCUCGUAGGCGGCCAACUAAGUCAGACGUGAAAUCCCCUCGGCUUAACCGGGGAACUGCGUCUGAUACUGGAUGGCUUGAGUGUGGGAGAGGGAUGCGGAAUUCCAGGUGUAGCGGUGAAAUGCGUAGAUAUCUGGAGGAACACCGGUGGCGAAGGCGGCAUCCUGGACCAACACUGACGCUGAGUGAGCGAAAGCCAGGGGAGCAAACGGG